rnacentral:rRNA from 1 species
AUUGAACGCUGGCGGCGUGCUUAACACAUGCAAGUCGAUCGGUAACAGGUGUAGCAAUACAUGCUGACGAGAGGCGGACGGGUGAGGAAUAUUUGGGAAUCUGCCCAUCAGCGGGGGACAACCCGGGGAAACCCGGGCUAAUACCGCAUACGCUCUACGGAGGAAAGCCGGGGACCGCAAGGCCUGGCACUGAUGGAUGAGCCCAAAUCGGAUUAGCUAGUUGGCGGGGUAACGGCCCACCAAGGCGACGAUCCGUAGCUGGUCUGAGAGGACGAUCAGCCCAACCGGAACUGAGACACGGUCCGGACUCCUACGGGAGGGAGCAGUGGGGAAUAUUGGACAAUGGGGGAAACCCUGAUCCAGCGACGCCGCGUGGGUGAAGAAGGCCUGCGGGUUGUAAAGCCCUUUCGGUAGGGACGAAAGCUCUUGCUCUAAUAAUGCAAGAGGUUGACUUAACCUACAUAAGAAGCACCGGCUAACUCUGUGCCAGCCGCCGCCGUAA